rnacentral:rRNA from 1 species
AUUGAACGCUGGCGGCAGGCUUAACACAUGCAGGUCGAGCGGGGGCUUCGGUCCUAGCGGCGAACGGGUGAGGAAUGCUUGGGAAUCUGCCUGGUAGUGGGGGAUAACGUUUCGAAAGGAACGCUAAUACCGCAUACGUCCUACGGGAGAAGGGGGGGAUCGUCGGACCUCUCGCUAUCAGAUGAGCCCAGGUCGGAUUAGCUAGUUGGUGAGGUAAAGGCUCACCAAGGCGACGAUCCGUAGCUGGUCUGAGAGGAUGAUCAGCCACACUGGAACUGAGACACGGUCCAGACUCCUACGAGAGGCAGCAGUGGGGAAUAUUGGACAAUGGGCGGAAGCCUGAUCCAGCCAUGCCGCGUGUGUGAAGAAGGCCUUUUGGUUGUAAAGCACUUUAAGCGAGGAGGAGGCUACUUAGAUUAAUACUCUAGGAUAGUGGACGUUACUCGCAGAAUAAGCACCGGCUAACUCUGUGCCAGCAGCCGCAGUAACAC